CACCCUGGUUUCAGCCCCAGAAGCGGAGUCUGUGUAAAUGGGGUCACGGUCACUGAGGAGGGCUCUGGCUGCGGGCCAGGGCUUCAGAAUGUCCUCCGUGGUCUGUGGAGCGGCCACUGAAGCGUCUGGAGCAAACAGGAAGCGCUCCCGUGACAAUGGCAUUACUUGCGGCUGAGAAAUGUGCUUCUGAACGCUCGGAAAGCCACUGGCCCCUCGCGCUGUAGCUCAGUGGAGCCGGCGGAGGCCCGGCCGGCCGGUUCCCACAGCGCCGUGAUUUCCGCGGCUCUGCGGCAGCGAGGCCUCAAGAGCCGCUCUGCUCCCGAGACGGGGGCAAGGGUGCUUCCCGAGCCUUCCAGGAGCUUCCAGCGGCGCGGGCCCGGGCACGGCGGAGGGCGAGGCUGGCCGAGCGCCUGCCGAGCCCCGGGAAGGCGGGGAGACCCGGGACAGGGAGGCCACAGGAAACCCUCCCCCGCCCCAGGCUUCGGUCCUGCACACACAUCUCAGUCGGAGGUGGCGGCUGCAGGACGGGGAACUCCGAGGAGAGCAGUUUUGCCUGGAUCUCACCCACUGAAAAGCGAGCUGCAGAUAUCUGGCAUUCCUCGCCCCUCUGGUCGUCCACACAGUUUAACCUUCCGGGGCUCUGUAUGGCAGCCUGAAGCCACCAGGAAUAUGGAAAGGCCAGGACGUGUUUCUGGCCCUGAGUCUCUGCUUCUCUGUGAACACCAUCCCCUUUGGGGUGCAGGCUAGGCUGUUGCCACAGAUAACGUCUCCAGUGGUUUGUGUGUGCCUAUGGUAAAAAAGACAUAAUCUAAAAUUUACCUUGUUAGCAGUUCUUCAGUGUAAAAUGCAUUGGUAAUAACCUUAUUCAUAAUGUUGUUCAACCUUCACCGCUUUUGUUGUUGUUCAGUCACUAAGUUGUGUCUGACUCUUUGUGACCCUAUGAACUU